rnacentral:sRNA from 1 species
GUGCUGCCUUCAGAGAUGUCUCGUCAGCCACAGAGCAGGUACAGCACGGGCACAGCAGUGCAAGUGUCCGCCAUUUUGCUCUGCUCCUCGGUGCUUCAUCCCUGCCUGGCGGGGACAGAGUUAGGUUCAGCUGUCUGCCCUUGCAGCCCUUGGCCUCU